rnacentral:ncRNA from 1 species
UAAUUAAAUUUGGUUAGUAAGAAAAAUUAGCUUUAAAUUCUUUAUAAAUUAUAUAGAUUUAUAAAAUUUAGAAGAUAAAAUUUACUUAAUAAUAUAAAAAAUUAUUGAUAUUUAGAGCAAUCUCUAGUAAAUUUUGUGCCAGCAACAGCGGUUAUACAAAAAGAGACUUUUUUAAUUAAAAACUUAAUUUAAUUGAUUUUUUAAAAUUUUAAAGAAAAAUUAAGGUGAAAUUUUUUUUUCUUUUUAGAAUAAAAUAAAGUAAAAAUUCUUUUUAAAUAAACUAGGAUUAGAUACCCUAUUAUUGAGAGCUAAAUGUUGUAAGUAUAUAUAUAAUAUGAAAACAAAAAAUUAUGGCGGUAUUUUAAGCUUUUCAGAGGAAUUUGCUCUUUAAUGGAUAAAACACCUAAAUCUUACUAAAAUUGGUUAAACAGUUUGUAUAUCACUAUUUAAGUAAAAAUUUGUAAUUAUUACUAUAAUUUAAUACUUUAAAAAAAGUUAAGUCAAGAUGCAGCAAAAGUUUUAGAAUGAAGUGAAUUACAUUUCUUUAUAGAGAUUUAAAAAUGAAAUCAAUAAUUUAGGAUUUGAAAGUAAAAUUUUAAUAAAAUGAAAAUUUGAAUUAAGCUCUAAAAUAUGUACAUAUCGCCCGUCGCUCUUUUAUGAAGAUAAGUCGUAACAAAGUUAAAAUACUGGAAAGUGUUUU